rnacentral:rRNA from 1 species
AGAGACCGGCGCACGGGUGCGUAACGCGUAUGCAAUCUACCUUUUACAGAGGGAUAGCCCAGAGAAAUUUGGAUUAAUACCUCAUAGUAUUACGACUCGGCAUCGAGAUGUAAUUAAAGUCACAACGGUAAAAGAUGAGCAUGCGUCCCAUUAGCUAGUUGGUAAGGUAACGGCUUACCAAGGCUACGAUGGGUAGGGGUCCUGAGAGGGAGAUCCCCCACACUGGUACUGAGACACGGACCAGACUCCUACGGGAGGCAGCAGUGAGGAAUAUUGGACAAUGGGCGCAAGCCUGAUCCAGCCAUGCCGCGUGCAGGAUGACGGUCCUAUGGAUUGUAAACUGCUUUUAUACGAGAAGAAACACUACUUCGUGAAGUAGCUUGACGGUAUCGUAAGAAUAAGGAUCGGCUAACUCCGUGCCAGCAGCCGCGGUAAUACGGAGGAUCCAAGCGUUAUCCGGAAUCAUUGGGUUUAAAGGGUCCGUAGGCGGUUUAGUAAGUCAGUGGUGAAAGCCCAUCGCUCAACGGUGGAACGGCCAUUGAUACUGCUAAACUUGAAUUAUUAGGAAGUAACUAGAAUAUGUAGUGUAGCGGUGAAAUGCUUAGAGAUUACAUGGAAUACCAAUUGCGAAGGCAGGUUACUACUAAUGGAUUGACGCUGAUGGACGAAAGCGUGGGUAGCGAACAGGAUUAGAUACCCUGGUAGUCCACGCCGUAAACGAUGGAUACUAGCUGUUGGAAGCAAUUUCAGUGGCUA